GUUAUCGUUUAUUUGAUAGUACCUUACUACUUGGAUAACCGUGGUAAUUCUAGAGCUAAUACAUGCCAAAAACCCCAACUUCGGAAGGGGUGUAUUUAUUAGAUAAAAAGCCAACGCCCUCCGGGGCUCCGUGGUGAUUCAUGAUAACUUCACGAACCGCAUGGCCUUGCGCCGGCGGUGGUUCAUUCAAAUUUCUGCCCUAUCAACUUUCGAUUGUUGGGUAUUGGCCAACAAUGGUUACGACGGGUAACGGGGAAUUAGGGUUCGAUUCCGGAGAGGGAGCCUGAGAAACGGCUACCACAUCCAAGGAAGGCAGCAGGCGCGCAAAUUACCCAAUCCCGACGCGGGGAGGUAGUGACAAUACAUACUGAUACAGGGCUCUUUUGGGUCUUGUAAUUGGAAUGAGUACAAUUUAAAUACCUUAACGAGGAACAAUUGGAGGGCAAGUCUGGUGCCAGCAGCCGCGGUAAUUCCAGCUCCAAUAGCGUAUAUUAAAGUUGUUGCAGUUAAAAAGCUCGUAGUUGAACCUUGGCCCUGGCUAGCCGGUCCGCCUCACCGCGUGCACUGGUCCGGCCGGGGCUCCCCUCCUGGGGAUCCGUAUGGCCUUUGCUGGUCGUGUCGGGGAACCAGGACUUUUACUUUGAAAAAAUUAGAGUGUUCAAAGCAGGCAUCCGCUCGAAUACAUUAGCAUGGAAUAAUGGAAUAGG
rnacentral:rRNA from 1 species